rnacentral:rRNA from 1 species
AUACGGAGGGUGCAAGCGUUAAUCGGAAUUACUGGGCGUAAAGCGCGCGUAGGCGGAUAUUUAAGUCUCAUGUGAAAGCCCUGGGCUCAACCUGGGAACUGCAUGGGAUACUGGGUAUCUAGAAUACAGUAGAGGGUAGUGGAAUUUCAGGUGUAGCGGUGAAAUGCGUAGAGAUCUGAAGGAACAUCAGUGGCGAAGGCGACUACCUGGACUGAUAUUGACGCUGAGGUGCGAAAGCGUGGGAAGCAAACGGGAUUAGAAACCCCAGUAGUCC